rnacentral:rRNA from 1 species
UACGGGGGGGGCAAGCGUUGUUCGGAAUUACUGGGCGUAAAGGGUUUGUAGGUGGCUUGUUAAGUCAGACGUGAAAUCCCUCAGCUUAACCGGGGAACUGCGUCUGAUACUGGAUGGCUUGAGUUCGGGAGAGGGAUGCGGAAUUCCAGGUGUAGCGGUGAAAUGCGUAGAUAUCUGGAGGAACACCGGUGGCGAAGGCGGCAUCCUGGACCGAUACUGACGCUGAGGAGCGAAAGCCAGGGGAGCAAACGGG